rnacentral:rRNA from 1 species
GGGUGAGUAACACGUGGAUAACCUACCUAUAAGACUGGGAUAACUUCGGGAAACCGGAGCUAAUACCGGAUAAUAUUUUGAACCGCAUGGUUCAAAAGUGAAAGACGGUCUUGCUGUCACCUAUAGAUGGAUCCGCGCUGCAUUAGCUAGUUGGUAAGGUAACGGCUUACCAAGGCAACGAUGCAUAGCCGACCUGAGAGGGUGAUCGGCCACACUGGAACUGAGACACGGUCCAG